ensembl:lncRNA
CAUUUUUACACAGGUUCCAACACGGAGACGCUUUACAAACAGGUCGGUUUUUAUUUUUAUUGGAAUACAUAUGGUCUGCUGUACAGCUUCAAGAGACCUACAUGCAGAGUGCGCCAGCCACAGAAAGGUUAAAACAUGCACAAUGUAUUAAGUUUAAAUUGAAAAGAAAAAAAAAAAAGCCUCCCCACACAGUACGCCUGGCAUUGCUGACACAGAGAAGCAGUAAUCAAUCAUAAAACAAUUUUGAUCUGAUUUUAAUUACAUAUACGUCUGUGUUUGACACCUCUGUCUGUCAGUCUCCUUGUUCUGCACACACAUUUAUAUACACUCAUCUAUUAAUAAAACCCAAAUAAACAAACAAAUAAACGCCUCAUUUGUACAGUUCAGAAAUUCUUAGAUGUGGAUGAAUCAGCGUUAAGAGAGAGAGAACAUCCAGUUAAACAAAAAUGUAUUAUUUUAAUUUGUUAUCCGAUUGUUCCUGUUAAGAUUGUGUGUUUUCAAUAUAUACACAUGUCUGGGGACCUGCACCCUUCUUUCUUUGGCAGCACUUUCGAACAUACAGCACAGAAGAUGUACAAACCCUGAAUUUAUGAGCGAGAGGCUGGAGCAGUGAAUGGUCCCCGAUUUAAAAAGAAAACACGAAACCAAAAAAGAGAAAAGGGGUCGACACGUGUUGAACCGCUCAACAUCGGAGACCUGCUCAGCUCUGAUAAAACGCACGUGACUCUCACUCUUCAAAGACCAUCGCUCGACGCUGGCUUCUCUCUUUCUCUUUUUCCUCAUCCACGGUGCGUCAUCAUGUCUCCAAGUUGUGGGAAACGUCUUGCAUUAAAACUACCAAGCACAAAAUACAUGAAGAAGAACUCUCCAGGAGUGUGACAAAGAAAAAGGAGAUACAUUACCUCGAAAAACAAAAAAGUCUUUAAGUCUAGAUGGACAAAUACUUUAUAUAUUUCAGUAAUAAGGCCCACUUUACAAAAUUAGUUUUUCCUUAAAUAAAAUCUAUCCAAUAUAGAUUCCAAAAUAAGACAUCUUUUGUUUAACAAAGAGAAAAAAAAUACAUAAGAAGAGAGAUGACAGAGAAAAGACAAACCUCACUUAUAUUUCCCCUUUAUUUCAGAACCUUAAGAGACACCGUGUCCUCCUGGGGAAACUUUUGCACCAUCUCUGUAAACUGUAAAUACUGUGGAAUGAUUUUGGCACAUUGUUAAAAGGCUGAGACGCAAACAUGAUUUUUCACUGAGUGCAUGCCAAUUUCCUUUACCUGCUGAGAUGAUUCUUGAAAAGAAACAGAUAAUAAACCCUACAUAACCAGCUGUGGUACAUUCAGCAAACAGCUACAGACAAUUUUGGGGGCACAGAAGAGAAAACGUUUUAACAAUGGGGGACUUGAAGGGGGCAUUAGUUGUUUAAGUGCUGGUUAAGUGCAGAUUACAGCCUGUGACACCCCAAUGACACCAUAACCCUGGCUUCACAAUGGAGGCAUUUGAGGACAAGGGCCUGCUAACAUUCCUCCAAUCUCCACUAAGUACAUUCUAGUCUACUUUUAUAAAACGAAAAACAAAAUAACGGAUGUUUAUAGAUAUACCAACACAUCUUCAGAGGAUUUCUCUUAACUCUUUAGCUGGUAUCCUAGCAGGAAAGCAGAAGCAGCCUCUUUUUGUUUUUAAACAGCAGCUAUUACACCAUUGCUGUAAUUCAGUCCACAUUCAACCAUCAAUCACAAAUCAGAGGAGACAUCAGGAAAAGAAAACAGCCCCGGAAUCCUUAAAACCUGUGAAAUUAUCACUGCAGCUCCCCCAAAAACCAAUUAGUACAUUCCACCAUAUUAACACUGCACCAACUUUCACCGAAGCAUUGAGUAAGACCUGUCGCCUGUGAGCAGUUGCAUUUUGCACAAUCACAUAAGCGCACACAGAUGCCACGGGUGGUCUUCAUGCUGGGACAGUCCAGCUGAGUCUCACUGGAUGGAGUGGAUGUUCGAUCAGGUUUAGCAGUAGCGUUUGGGAACAUUGGGGCCUUAGAAGGAAGAAAGGUGGAUCGCAUAGUUUCAACUUUGGCCUUUACCCAGCCCGGCUUGCUUUGAACCCGACCUUGAGGAGGAGAAACCUGCCACGCAUCGUAAAACCUACAGUUUCUGACAGCUGGAACACCCCCACCCCGAACUCAAACACUCUUUAGGGAAAGAAAGGACGAGAAAGAUUCAAAAGAAACAACUCACAGAUGGAGAAAUGCUUCACAGUGGUGCUGCUUAGGGAUCGGUGGUGGAGCAUCACGUUGGAUUGGAGGGAAACAGUAACAAGAACUUUAUGGCCCAUGAGGCAGGAUAAUGGGCUGUGGCUCAGGUGCUUGCAUCACCAUCCUGACCCACAAACGCCCUCCAGCCAACUCAGGGCUCUGCAGACGCCACUUGAGCUUUAAAUGAGAACCCUCGCUGACAUAUCAACAACAGCAACAAACGCAUUAAGAGAAGAGCACGUGUAUAUGUGGGAGAAACUGAAACUCGAUACCCCCCCCCUGGAUGUUUUAAUUAUCAUCAUGUGCACGUCACUGCCAAGCUGGCCAUUUUUGACGCUCCUGUAUUUAGAAGCCCUGAAAUCAAGAUGUAGAGACAGGAUUAGACCCAGACCUGACCUUUCACCUUUCAGCUACUCAGGGAACUGCCCAUCAUUUUCUGGUGACAGGCCUCUGGCCUUCAAUAAAACGAGCCUCUGCACCAGUAGCACACAUCACUGCCGUUUAGGGAAAAGGUUUUCCUUUUAGGAAGUGAGAAUCUAAGGAAAAUACAGAGAAACAGAGGGAGGAGGAAGGGACACUUGAUUUUUAGCAAAAUCC